rnacentral:tRNA from 1 species
GAUGGAAUGGUGUGCAAGCACGUGUAAUUGUCGUUUACAAAGGUAUUCAUCUU